AUAAGCGGAGGAAAAGAAACUAACAAGGAUUCCCCUAGUAACGGCGAGUGAAGCGGGAAGAGCUCAAAUUUGAAAUCUGGCGGUCUACGGCCGUCCGAGUUGUAAUCUAGAGAGGUGUUUUCCGUGCCGGACCGUGUACAAGUCCCUUGGAACAGGGCGUCAUAGAGGGUGAGAAUCCCGUCCAUGACACGGACUACCGGUGCUCUGUGAUACACCUUCAAAGAGUCGAGUUGUUUGGGAAUGCAGCUCAAAAUGGGUGGUAAAUUCCAUCUAAAGCUAAAUACAGGCGAGAGACCGAUAGCGAACAAGUACCGUGAGGGAAAGAUGAAAAGAACUUUGGAAAGAGAGUUAAACAGUACGUGAAAUUGUUGAAAGGGAAACGCUUGAAGUCAGUCGCGUCUGUCAGGACUCAGCCUUGCUUUUGCUUGGUGCAUUUCCUGGUGGAUGGGCCAGCAUCGAUUUUGGUCGCCGGACAAGGGCGGGAGGAAUGUGGCAGCUUGCUGUGUUAUAGCCUCUCGUCGUACACGGUGACUGGGAUCGAGGACUGCAGCACGCCUUUGGUCGGGGUUCGCCCACGCCACGUGCUUAGGAUGCUGGCGUAAUGGCUUUAAACGACCCGUCUUGAAACACGGACCAAGGAGUCUAACAUGCCUGCGAGUGUU
rnacentral:rRNA from 1 species